CUUCCACACUGUGGAAGCUUUGUUCUUUCACUCUUUGCAAUAAAUCUUGCUACUGCUCACUCUUUGGGUCCACGCUGCUUUUAUGAGCUGUAACACUCACCGCAAAGGUCUGCAGCUUCACUCCUGAAGCCAGCGAGACCACGAGCCCACCAGAAGGAAUGAACAACUCCAGAAGCGCUGCCUUAAGAGCUGUAACACUCACCUCAAAGGUCUGCAGCUUCACUCCUGAGCCAGCGAGACCACGAACCCACCAGAAGGAAGAAACUCCAAACACAUCCGAACAUCAGAAGGAACAAACUCCAGACACGCCACUUUAAGAGCUGUAACACUCACCGCGAGGGUCCACGGCUUCAUUCUUGAAGUCAGUGAGACCAAGAACCCACCAAUUCCGGACACAUUUUGGCAACCACGAAGGGACUUUUGCCUAUCACCAAGCAGUGAGACAAUUGCCGAGCGGUGAGACCAUCGCCUAUCGCCAAGCAUGCCACCCUGGUGACUUAUCUCACACUAUUUGAAAAAUCUCUAUACUUCUCAAGCAAGGUCAGAAAGCUGGUUGGAAACUUCUGGUCACCAUUGGGUCAAGCAUGUGUUGCUUCAGAGAAUCACUAAUGGCAUCUGAAGAAGGAGAAAAGAAUCCUACAACCAUGCCAGGCAUAAACUUGAAUGAAUGACAGAAAUGGCCCAUGUUUCCAUGGAGCAAACAAUCUAGCAGGGCAAAACUACAGUAAGUAAUUGCAGAAUCUUUUACAGCCUCAUUUGGAGAAUCAGAAUUCCAACUCAGAAAGCUAUACUUUUUUUUUUUUUUUUUUUUUGAGACGGAGUCUUGCGCUGUUGCCCAGGCUGGAAUGCAGUAGCGCGAUCUCAGCUCACUGCAAGCUCUGCCUCCUGGGUUCACGCUAUUCUCCUGCCUGAGCCUUCUGAGUAGCUAGGACUACAGGCGCCCACUACCACGCCCAGCCAAUUUUUUUGUAUUUUUAGUAGAGACGGGGUUUCACCGUGUUAGCCAGGAUGGUCUCAAUCUCCUGACCUCGUGAUCUGCCCACCUCAGCCUCCCAAAGUGCUGGGAUUACAGGCAUGAGCCACCGUGCCCGGCCAGAAAGCUAUACUUUUGCCAUAGCCUUGUCCUUCAUUCACUAGUCCUUUUGGCUAAGGAAAAGUCCAGACGUAACCAACCAUGCCACUUUCACCCCAGAGGAUAUUGGUUUUGGUACUAAUCUAAGUCCAUAGUCUUAAAAUUUGUUUGAUCACUUAUUUUUAUCAGUAAUCAGUUUUGAAGAACCUUGCCAAUAUAUGUUUAUUUAUUUACAAAUUAUGUGUGUGCCACAGUGCUAAUAUAUUAUGUGCAUUUUAAAAUAUAAACAAAAAUUAAAAUGUAAACAUAUAAGAUAAAAAAUAUAAAUUUUGAUUUCUGUUCUCCUCUUUGCAUCAUCUCAU
rnacentral:lncRNA from 10 species